CAUUCUAUUGAAUACAUUUAUCAUGUUUAAAAUAAAUAAACAUGCCGUUGUAUAUUGACAAUUACAAUUACAUGUUUCUUUAUUAUAUACAUGUGACAUAUAUGUAUAUACAGAGUGGCCAGCAACCUGGAAAUGUCAGAAAAAUUCUAAACCAUGUUAAAAAUUCAGGGAACAAAUUAAAUUAUGCAAUAGUCAAGAAAUUUUAAUUAAUUCAUUAAUGGAUUCAGUAACAAAAUAAAUUUGAAUGGCAGAUUAUAUGAACUGGAAUGUAGAGGAUGUUUGUGCAUACUUAGAAUUAAAAGGACUCCCAGAACUUAGACAAAAAGUUAUUGAGGAAGAAAUCGAUGGGAAUGUUUUGGUGUCGUUGACAGAGUCGAUGGUGUCACGCUUAUGCCAGACAAUGCGUAGACAAGUCAUGUUACUGGAAAUUAUCAAGAAUCUUUUAACUCCACCACGAGCAAUCAAUAAUUUGAAUAAUUUAGAACAUGUUGCAAAUGUUUCACAAACACUGGCACAUUGUGAAGAUGUCGAUAACGUUGAGCCAUUAAACAGAACAAAAAAACCAUGGCCAGUGCGAUAUCAACUUCCUAUUUUUCCUCCAUUAGUAAAAGCAGCACUAGGUGCCAACGAUGGUUGCUUUCUUCAAUAUCAAAGAAAUAAUUGUAGAAACCACCUUUUGCAAUGUCUAUAUGAUGAUAUUAGCAAAUACACUAUGUAUCCCUCAAGUACACAAUAUUCAGAUGUUAUUGCUGCUCUUUGCUCUAAAUAUCCUUAUUUAAAUGACUUUCCAUCUACAAGUAGUUCUUCAGUACACCGAUUUGGUAUCUGUAAAGAGCGACUCCCUUUAGUUCAAUUAGACAUUGUUGCUGAACACAAAAGAAAAUUUGGGCAACAAGGUAGAGGGCGCAAAAGAAAGGAUUUUGCUGAUGAUCAAUCAUGUGCCAGAAAAAUAAGAGACUUGCCAAAUACACUGCCUGUUGGUGAAGAUGAGACAACUGUGGCCAAACAUCACCAUGAUAUGAAAGCUGAAUACAGUAAGCUUCGUCCAGAUAUUAAAAUGCUCCUUGAUCGUCAACAGCGCAGUUGACCAAAUAGAGCAAAAAAUUUUGAAUUAAACUUUAGCACAGUUGAUAUAAAAGCUAGCUAUCCUUGGCUUUCUAUUGCUAGAUUGUUUCUAAAUGAAAUGAAAUUAAGAUUUUGCAAAGACCUUGAUAAAGAACUCCACCAAUGGCUGGGUGCCAUAGGAAAUAAAGUUGUUAACCUUGCUAAGUCUGCUUAUAAAGAUGAAUAUGUAAUUGCAAUAACUGCUGAAAUCGAAUGUGAAAUUGAUGACACUAUGAAGCAAGAUGCCACUUUGAAUGCUGCAAUUCUUUUAUUGCCAAGAUUGUUUAAAGAACAUUUGAUAGCCAGCCGAUGGCCUCACACCGACUAUUAAAAUGGCAAAUAAACAAAAACUGACGACAAGAGACUGCAGCAUUAUAUUGGAUAGGUGUGAAAUAGUUAAACAUUGUAGCGAUGUUGAUGUGUCAUUAGCAAUGUCUUGUGUUUUUGCUUCUUACUAUAUUUUUAAUAUUGAAUACCUUGCAAGAUUGAAAAAUACAUUAUUGUUUUUUGAGCAUAUUGUGUUUGGGUUGUCCAACAAAGAAUGUCCUGUAACUGUAUGCAGAACGGCUAAUACUUUACAUCAGAAAUAAGAACAGCCGACAAAUAAUAAUCAUGGUGUACCUGGACAUGAAGUUUUUUUUCUUCUUUUUUGUAAAUUGUUUUUUAUUUGUCUCAUAUUUUUAAAAAUAAAAAUAAAAGAUUUAUUGU
rnacentral:misc_RNA from 1 species